GACGAACGCUGGCGGCGUGCUUAACACAUGCAAGUCGAACGGAAAGGCCCUGCUUUUGUGGGGUGCUCGAGUGGCGAACGGGUGAGUAACACGUGAGUAACCUGCCCUUGACUUUGGGAUAACUUCAGGAAACUGGGGCUAAUACCGGAUAUGAGCUCCUGCUGCAUGGUGGGGGUUGGAAAGUUUCGGCGGUUGGGGAUGGACUCGCGGCUUAUCAGCUUGUUGGUGGGGUAGUGGCUUACCAAGGCUUUGACGGGUAGCCGGCCUGAGAGGGUGACCGGCGACAUUGGGACUGAGAUACGGCCCAGACUCCUACGGGAGGCAGCAGUGGGGAAUAUUGCACAAUGGGCGGAAGCCUGAUGCAGCAACGCCGCGUGCGGGAUGACGGCCUUCGGGUUGUAAACCGCUGUCGCCUGUGACGAAGCGUGAGUGACGGUAAUGGGUAAAGAAGCACCGGCUAACUACGUG
rnacentral:rRNA from 1 species